UUGCAUUCAGUUGAUGUAGAUUAGAGUUUUACAGGUCU
rnacentral:tRNA from 1 species